rnacentral:tRNA from 1 species
UCGGGGCGUGGCGCAGCCUGGUAGCGCGCACCGUUCGGGUCGGUGAGGUCCUCGGUUCGAAUCCGAGCGCCCCGAU